UUACGACUAUAUCACGUUGAAAUACCGGUUCCCGUACGAUCACCGAAGUUAAGCAACGUCGAGCCUGGUCAGUACCUAGAUGGAUGACCGUUUGGAAAUAACAGGUACUGUAU
rnacentral:rRNA from 1 species